rnacentral:tRNA from 1 species
GGUGUGGCGCAGUUGGUUAGCGCGUCAGAUUGUGGCUCUGAAGGUCGAGGGUUCGAAUCCCUUCAC